rnacentral:rRNA from 1 species
GACGAACGCUGGCGGCGUGCUUCACACAUGCAAGUCGAACGGGGAUGCAGCAAAAGCUUGCUUUUAUUGCAUCCUAGUGGCGGACGGGUGAGUAACACGUGAGCAGCCUGCCCGACAUACUGGGAUAACAGCGGGAAACCGUUGCUAAUACCGGAUACUCCAUUUCUGGCGCAUGUCAGAGAUGGGAAAGGGUUUACUGAUGUCGGAUGGGCUCGCGUCCCAUUAGCUGGUUGGUGAGGUAACGGCUCACCAAGGCUGCGAUGGGUAGCUGGUCUGAGAGGACGAUCAGCCACACUGGAACUGAGACACGGUCCAGACUCCUACGGGAGGCAGCAGUGGGGAAUAUUGCACAAUGGGCGAAAGCCUGAUGCAGCGACGCCGCGUGGAGGAUGAAGGCCUUCGGGUCGUAAACUCCUGUCUGGGGGGAUGAACACUGACAGUACCCCCGGAGGAAGCCCCGGCUAACUACGUGCCAGCAGCCGCCGUAA